GGAUGUAGCUCAGUUGGUUAGAGCGCUAGAUUGUGGCUCUAGAGGCCGUGGGUUCGAGUCCCACCUUU
rnacentral:tRNA from 1 species